rnacentral:tRNA from 1 species
GGUGGCUCAGUGGUAGAGUGCUUGCCUUGCAUGCAUGAAGUCCUAGGUUCGAUUCCUCAGCACCA